GAGACAGGGACUCCAUCCCUGGUUUGGGAAGAUCUCCUGGAGGAGAGCAUGGCAACCCAAUUCUCCAGUAUUCUUGCCUGGAGAAUCCCGUGGACAGAGGAGCCUGAUUCUGAGAAUCUGCAUUUUUAACAAGCAUCGCAGCUGAUUCUCAUGUAGCUGGCUGGUAGACCACACCUGGAGAAAUACUGACAGUGGAAGAGAAAGUGGAGGGAGCCUGGCGACCUGGGACUUCCCUGGAUGCAGUGAGCGGCCGCAACCUCCCUGAGGACCCAGCCUUCCUGCUCUCAGUCUCACAGCUCUUUGCUUCUUUCCUUCCACCAGCCUGAGGGGAAAUACUGAUGUACGAUUAUUAAAAUAUUUUUUAAAGACUUAUGA
ensembl:lncRNA